CAAAUUCUUGCAGUUCAUGAAGCAAUUUAGUGCGAUAUAGGAGUGAGGGUAACAAACAUACAAGGACUUCAACACUGGUGAAACAAUGUUUAGGUAUUGCAUACCAUCACAACAGUUCAAGGUCAAAUUAGCAAGAAGAGGGGCCUUGAUAACACAAUGCUCUGAAAAGGUUACUGAUGCCAACCGAAGGGUUACAAGAUUGGGAAAGCCACGAAAAGAAUCAGGUGGUUUAAAGGAACAUCUAGCAAGUUUCAACUGUGUCAGGGUUGAACAGUGAAAUACACAAGGAGGCAGUGCAUAGCUACGAUCAUCAAUAUUAG
rnacentral:misc_RNA from 1 species